rnacentral:tRNA from 1 species
GUUUUUGUAGUUGAAUUACAACGGUGGUUUUUCAGAUCACAGGUUUUGGUGGUAGGCCAAAUGAAAAUA